GAUGAACGCUGGCGGCGUGCCUAAUACAUGCAAGUCGAGCGAACAGAUGAGGAGCUUGCUCCUCUGACGUUAGCGGCGGACGGGUGAGUAACACGUGGUUAACCUACCUCUACGACUGGGAUAACUUCGGGAAACCGGAGCUACUACCGGAUAAUAUAUUGCACCGCAUGGUUCACUAGUGAAAGUCGGUUUUGCUGUCACUUAUAGCUGGAUCCGCGCCGCAUUAGCUAGUUGGUAAGGUAGCGGCUUACCCAGGCUACGAUGCGUAACCGACCUGAGCGGGUGAUCGGCCACACGGGAAGUGAGACAGGGCCCAGACACCUACAGGAGGCAGCAGUAGGGAAUCUUCCGCAAGGGGCGAAUGCCGGACGGUGCAACGCCGCGUGAGGGAUGAAGGUGUUCGGAUCGGAGAGCGCUGUUAUUAGUGGAGAACAAAUGUGUAAUUAACUAGGCACGUCUUGACGGUACCGAAACAGAAAGCCACGGCUAACUACGUG
rnacentral:rRNA from 1 species